CUACGUGCCAGCAGCCCGCGGUAAUACGUAGGUCCCGAGCGUUAUCCGGAAUUAUUGGGCGUAAAGGGCACGUAGGCGGACAAAUAAGUUUGAUGUCAAAUAUGAUGGCUCAACCAUCAAGAGGCGUUGAAAACUGUUUAUCUAGAAUCUCGGAGAGGUAAGUGGAAUUCCAUGUGUAGCGGUGGAAUGCGUAGAUAUAUGGAGGAACACCAAUGGCGAAGGCAGCUUACUGGACGAAGAUUGACGCUGGUACGGUGCGAAAGCGUGGUAGCCAAACAGGAUUAGAUACCCUGGUAG
rnacentral:rRNA from 1 species